CUUUGGUUGUUCUGUGCUUAUUGCCCUGCUAUUCUUGAGCUCCAGAGUCCUUGUGUUCCAGUAUUCCUGCAUCUGUUCCUGCCUUGGACUUUGCUGGCCUCCUGCAUCUCAGCAUCUUGUUCUGGUUCCGUCCUCCCAGCCUUGGUGCUCCUGCCUCUGCUUGGUCACGGCCAGCUGUGCAGUUUUUCAUGGACAAAUUAAACACACAUCGAACUCCUUGUCUCACCAAAACAGAUGGAAUAAAGGUCUGUGCUCUUAAUCAGUUCUAGUGAAUUCAACAGAAACUACUUCCAAACAGACUUGCAUGAGGCCAAUCUGCAAAUGCGCUGAACUGUAGGUUGCAAAAUCAUAUACAUUAUCUUAAUCAUCCCUAUGACAGUUUCCUGUGGUAGGUGAGUCUUAUGGAAAAGGAAGCAAAAGGGUGGUCCUCUAAAGGUUUGAUGUCUCAUCAGCCGCAGCCAGCUUUCCAACAGAGAGGGCUACUGGAGGGUUACCAUUCAACUACAUCUGGAUUGGGCUGCCCUUACCUGUGCAUCUCUCAGGUUUUCCUAAAAUCUAGUGUUCAUGUGCAGCUUCACUCUGCUUUUGCUUCUUUUGAAAUCAAGAACUCCAGUAUA